AUUGAACGCUGGCGGCGGGCCUAACACAUGCAAGUCGAGCGAGCGGCGGACGGGUGAGUAAUGUAUGGGGACUGCCCGAUAGCGGGGGAUAAGUACUGGAAACGGUAGCUAAUACCGCAUACUAUCGGAUAACCCAUAGGGGAUUAGCUAGUAGGUGAGGUAAUGACUCACCUAGGCGACGAUCCCUAGCUGAUCUGCGAGGGUGAUCAGCCACACUGGGACUGAGACACGGCCCAGACUCCUACGGAGGCAGCAGUGGGGAAUAUUGGACAAUGGGCGCAAGCCUGAUGGAGCCAUGCCGCGUGUAUGAAGAAGGCCCUAGGGUUGUAAAGUACUUUCGGUAGGGAGGCGUUACCGACAGAAGAAGCACCGGCUAACUCCGUGCCAGCAGCCGCGGUAAUAC
rnacentral:rRNA from 1 species